GGGAGACUACUGCGGCCGUGUGGCUGUGAACAACAACAACAACAAGUCCUGUAGUGAACAACCUCUAAUGAGGCUGUGGUCCUGACGUAAAGCAUGAGUCCAUUAGUGAGGCAUCAACCCACCUAUAUAUUGUCAUAUGUGACAAGAUAUUUGCACACCAGCUCUGCAAAGCUUCACCAACAGACCUGGAGGGCAUCUAAUUGGUGUGUUCCAUCACAGACUAGAGGUGUGUUCAAGGCGAGUCAAGAAAGCUCCUUCAAAUCACAGCACAAACAAGAUGGGGUCUCCAAAGACUUUGUUAUGGUCUACUCUAAGAUAUACCAGAAGUGUUUCACUCUUCUAGUACCCCAUACAUGGAUUGUGGGUGCAGUAUUCCUCAGUAUCAGUGGAUAUCAUAUUUGGAAUAUACUUGAUUCUGACCCUAGCCAACAAGAGAGUGUUGAUGCUGACCCUAGCCAACAAGAGAGUGUUUCAAUCAGACUUGGCAGUAUACCAAUGAACCCUUUGACAGUUUAUUGUGUGUCAUUUGCUUUAACACUUAUAUUUUUGGUUAUUAUGGCCAAAAUGACAAAGAGCAUUGUUUUGAGGAUGUAUUAUAAGGAAGAGAUGAACGAGUUUGUCGCUGUUGUGUUGCGUUAUGGUUUCUUUCGCAGAACAAUAAAAUUUAGUCCAUCAGAUGUGAAACAUGUAAAAUUACAGGAAUUUGGUGGGACUUAUGAAGUGAAAGGAGAAAAAUUUGAUUAUCUGCAUAGUGAAUUUUUGUCUGUAAAGUAUUUGAAUUUAUUUACUGGAGUUAUUGUUCAGAAUCAGGUGCAUCCUAAAAACACAUUUGGAAACAGAAUUAUGAAAAGUUAAUAUUAUCGAUAAAUAUCAUAAAACAUUGUUAAUUUUUAUGAACACGUAUUAUAAAUACUGGUGACCAAAUAAGAGAUGUGUCAAUUCAAUCUUCUAAUAUUUAUAAUGGAUGUAGAGCAUAACUACAAUUAAAUUAAUGAAUCAUUGACCUAUAUACUUUUAUAUUGCAUUUUGUUUAAAAUAAUUUAGAUUGCAAUGUUUGUUGACAUCAUUAUUUUGUGUUUAUAUACUAAAAUUCAUAUUUGAGAAUUGUAAUUCUUUUGUUGUUUGGUUAAAGUAAUUUGCAAUUAUUACUUUUUAGCUUACCUGAAAAAUGAUGAGCUAUGUGAUCGCAUAUUGUUUGUACCUUGUUAAUACUCGAAAGGCCACAUUUAUUUUUCAUCUUUAUGAAUCUUGGUCAGAAUAUUUAUCCAAAUUAUAUUUUUGCCAAGUUGGAGACUGUGUUGCGUGACAUCGAAAACUAAGUCAAUAGGUCAAAAUAAAGAAACUUGUGCAAUCUUCAUGAAACAUGGUCAGAUAAUUUGCUCUAACAUGUCUUGGCCUAGUUUUAAAAAUAGUUAAGGUUCAUUGAAAAUCUUGGCUGCCAGGGAGUGGAGUAGUUUUCCUAAUGUGGCUAAAGUAAAACCUUUUUAACGCUCUAGAAGUCACAUGUUUCGUCCAAUCUUCAUGAAACUUGAUCAGAAUAUAUGUUCAAAUGAUAAAAGCAUGUUUGCAAGGGGUCGGGGCAGUUUUCCUUAUAUGGAUAUAGUGAAACCUUGUAAUCACUCUUUAUAGUCACUUUUAUAGCCCAUUGAUGAAACUUGGUCACAACAUUUGUUCUUAUGAAAUAUAUGCUAAGUUAAAAAAUGAUUCGGCUUUGUUGAUAAACAUGGCCUACACGGUGCAGGGCAGUUUUCUUAAGCUUGAAGGCUUUGGUAAAACAGUGUUCACUCUCUAGAAGUCACAGUUUUGCCCAAUCUUUCUGAAACUUUCUCAGAUUAUUUGUUUCAAUUAUAUCUCAAAUGAAUUUGCAAAUCUGUUCUGUGUUUUGAAAAAAAAGCCUCAACAGGAUGUUUCAGUUUAUCUUGUAUUUUUUAAAGUGCACAGGUUGAUGUAGCUUCUUUCUGGGGAUGUUAACAACUUAAAAGUAAUAGCUAUGAUAGUGUGAUCUUGAAGGUGUUUGAUUAUAAUAUUUAAUUACUCAAAAUAAAAUAUUCCAAUUACUCCAGAGUAUUAUAAUUAUUUUUCAAGAAAAUCACAGAGGGCUGAAACCUUUAAAACAAUAAGAACUACAUGUAUUUCAUUUGAAGAUUAUUUGACCUGUCAAUUAACAUAUGUUAUGUCAGUAGCUGAAUAUAAUCUCUUCAGUUGAUCUAUAAAUAAUUUACAGAUGAUCAGAUGAUUUGCAGACAGCCUAUUUUCCAGGGGAGACAACCUGGUUGCUUGUUCUGUUGUUCCAGUACAGUUGUCCCCCAUACACGAAUCUAUCUAAGGUGUAAGUGAGCUUACCAGGGCACUUGGUCCUCUUGUUAAAAGGAGUUCUUUCCCUUCGUUUCAAGUCACAUUUAAAAGCAUCUGUGCGCAACUCAUUCAUUCUGUGUGCAUCUUUCCACAUUUUUACAGAACAAUUAUACGCAUGUGCCACAGCACAUAUUGUCAAAGUUUCGCGAAUGAGGAAAUUUUUCAGGAGCUUUUGUCUUUUGUUUGAAAUUACUUGCAAGAGCUUCUGUGCACAAUUACUUUUACAUUUAUGAAUGGUUUGUUCGCAAAAAUUACAGAAUAAUUAUCUGCAAUUGCUACAGCGCAUAUUGUUUUCGGAUUUAUUUUCAGAAGUAAGUGCCUAUUGUUAGAAUUUAUAUGUAACGCUGUGUGCGAAUUUCUUCUUAAUUAUGCAUGCCAUUGCCAAAUGAAAUAACAUGAUUUAAUAGCCA